rnacentral:rRNA from 1 species
AUUGCGUCGCCCCCACCCUGCACCCGUGUCCUGACAGGGCCGCGGGCCUUAGCGUGGGGGGCGGAAGUUGGCUUCCCGUGCCGUGUGUUUUUUGCGGCUAGCCUGAAACAUGGUUCCCUCGCCGCGGACGUCGCGACAAGUGGUGGUCGUCGAGAUUGUUCGCGAGUUGCGACGGCAAAGCUGCGUCGAGGGGAGCAUUUUGGACCCUGUGCGAGCGCGAUGAGUCCCUCCCCGAGGGGCAAUUCGAACACGAUUGCGACCCCAGGUCAGGC